AUACUUACCUGGACGGGGUCAAUGGGUGAUUACAAAGACUCAUGGCCUAGAUCGGUGACUUUCAUUGCACUUUGAAAGGGUACCGAUUUAAGGUCUGCUCAUAUAGUGGAGCCUACGUCAUAAUUUGUUGCAGGGCUUGCGUUCGCGCAGCCCCCUC
rnacentral:snRNA from 1 species